AUUUGACUAUGAAGAUAGUUUGGUCAUUUGGUGAGUUUGAAGGAUAACAGAUGGCCAGCUCAUGAACUCCCCUGGUAUCCUUUCCUUGGAGGACUGAUGAGAAGGCAUGGACCAGAAUUGUAAGAAUGUUCAUAUAUGAACUGGGAUCUAUAUCCUUAAAGGUUCUGCCUACUUCAAGAGUUCCCAGAGAGGCUCUUUGGCUGGGGGAGGAAUGGACCAGGACAGAAGAGAGCGGGAAUAUAAGGCGGUCCUCUAGGGAACGAGGGAAGACCCAGUGCGCUUCAGUUCUCAAGCCGGAUCCUUCUCCACCCCGUUUCCACGCCUCCUUUCUUCCCUCAAGCAACUCGGGGCGGGGUCGGUGGCUUCCACCGAAUGUCCUCGGCUCCGGGAUCUGCUACCAAAAGGAGCCGGGCCAGUUAGUUUCUAGUCCCGAGCCCAGGCUGUAG
rnacentral:lncRNA from 1 species